rnacentral:rRNA from 1 species
UAGGGAAUCUUGGACAAUGGGGGAAACCCUGAUCCAGCCAUGCCGCGUGAACGAUGAAGGCCCUAGGGUUGUAAAGUUCUUUCAGCGGGGAAGAUAAUGACGGUACCCGCAGAAGAAGCCCCGGCUAACUCCGUGCCAGCAGCCGCGGUAAUACGGAGGGGGCUAGCGUUGUUCGGAAUUACUGGGCGUAAAGCGCACGUAGGCGGAUGUUUAAGUCGGGGGUGAAAUCCCGGGGCUCAACCCCGGAACUGCCCUCGAUACUGGAUGUCUGGAGUCCGAGAGAGGUGAGUGGAAUUCCGAGUGUAGAGGUGAAAUUCGUAGAUAUUCGGAGGAACACCAGUGGCGAAGGCGGCUCACUGGCUCGGUACUGACGCUGAGGUGCGAAAGCGUGGGGAGCAAACAGGAUUAGAUACCCCCGUAGUCC